CCCCUCGUAGUUCAACGGAUAGAACGUCCGCCUCCUAAGCGGAAAAUCCAGGUUCGAUUCCUGGUGAGGGGA
rnacentral:tRNA from 1 species